CUCAUCAAAGUGGCUCUGAUGUGUUUUAUUAAUUUUCAUAUCACAGCCAGCUUUGAUGAGCG
rnacentral:pre_miRNA from 1 species